UUGACAAGCAUGUUGGUUAGUGUAUACUUUUGGUGAUGGUUGUUAGUGGCGCAUCAGGGCAUCAUUCAAUAAAAUUUGUAGAAGAUGGGAGAUUAAAAAAAUUGAAUGUGUCCAUAUUUGCAUUGCCCAUUCAUUUCCCGUUAUCACCAAAACUUAGAUUCAAUUGAAAUUGCUAACCGUAUUUAUGAGUUAGUAAAUCAGAUCCUUCUAUCCCU
rnacentral:lncRNA from 1 species